rnacentral:rRNA from 1 species
UACGUAGGCAGCAAGCGUUGUUCGGAAUUACUGGGCGUAAAGAGUGUGUAGGCGGUGUUCUAAGUUUGUCGUGAAAUCUCCCGGCUUAACUGGGAGGGUGCGGCGAAAACUGGAAUGCUAGAGGAUGGGAGAGGUAAGCGGAAUUCCUGGUGUAGCGGUGAAAUGCGUAGAUAUCAGGAGGAACACCUGUGGUGUAGACAGCUUACUGGACCACUUCUGACGCUGAGACACGAAAGCGUGGGUAGCAAACAGG